rnacentral:rRNA from 1 species
GAUGAACGCUGGCGGCGUGCCUAAUACAUGCAAGUCGAGCGAACGGACGAGAAGCUUGCUUCUCUGAUGUUAGCGGCGGACGGGUGAGUAACACGUGGAUAACCUACCUAUAAGACUGGGAUAACUUCGGGAAACCGGAGCUAAUACCGGAUGAUAUUUUGAACCGCAUGGUUCAAAAGUGAAAGACGGUCUUGCUGUCACUUAUAGAUGGAUCCGCGCUGCAUUAGCUAGUUGGUAAGGUAACGGCUUACCAAGGCAACGAUGCAUAGCCGACCUGAGAGGGUGCUCGGCCACACUGGAACUGAGACACGGUCCAGACUCCUACGGGAGGCAGCAGUAGGGAAUCUUCCGCGAUGGGCGAAAGCCUGACGGAGCAACGCCGCGUGAGUGAUGAAGGUCUUCGGAUCGUAAAACUCUGUUAUUAGGGAAGAACAUAUGUGUAAGUAACUGUGCACAUCUUGACGGUACCUAAUCAGAAAGCCACGGCUAACUACGUG